rnacentral:rRNA from 1 species
UACGAAGGGGGCUAGCGUUGCUCGGAAUCACUGGGCGUAAAGCGCACGUAGGCGGAUUGCUAAGUCAGGGGUGAAAUCCUGGAGCUCAACUCCAGAACUGCCUUUGAUACUGGCGACCUUGAGUCCGGGAGAGGUGAGUGGAACUGCGAGUGUAGAGGUGAAAUUCGUAGAUAUUCGGAAGAACACCAGUGGCGAAGGCGACACACUGGCCCGUUACUGACGCUGAGGCGCGAAAGCGUGGGGAGCGAACAGG